ACAGAGGGUGCGAGCGUUAAUCGGAAUUACUGGGCGUAAAGCGUGCGCAGACGGUUAUAUAAGUCGGGUGUGAAAGCCCCGGGCUCAACCUGGGAAUUGCAUUCGAGACUGUGUAGCUAGGGUGCGGAAGAGGGAAGCGGAAUUUCCGGUGUAGCGGUGAAAUGCGUAGAUAUCGUCUGGAACGCCGAAGGUGAAAACAGCUCGCUGGGGCUGCGCUGACGCUGAG
rnacentral:rRNA from 1 species